UACGUAGGGUGCGAGCGUUAAUCGGAAUUACUGGGCGUAAAGCGUCCGCAGGUGGCAGUUCAAGUCUGCUGUCAAAGACCGGGGCUCAACCUCGGAAAGGCAGUGGAAACUGAACAGCUAGAGUAUGGUAGGGGCAAAGGGAAUUCCUGGUGUAGCGGUGAAAUGCGUAGAGAUCAGGAAGAACAUCGGUGGCGAAGGCGCUUUGCUGGACCAUAACUGACACUCAGGGACGAAAGCUAGGGGAGCGAAUGGG
rnacentral:rRNA from 1 species